GCUUGCUUCUAUUCUUCUUUCUGGCUGCGGGUGAGUGCGCGUACUCUACCUGCCCUUCCUUGGGGGGGCAGUUGGUUGGACUGCUUGCCCGCCUACGAUCCAUCUCUCUCUCCAUACUGGAUGAAUGGUGGCCUCUAUUUAUUUCUAUCACUGACUGAGGGGAUUGCUUCUGAUUGAUUAGUUGGAUGGAUAACGGCCCACCAAGGCGAUGAAUGAUAGCCGGUCUGACAGGAUGAACGGCCACAUUGGUACUGACACACGACACCAGACUCCUACCUAAGGCAGCAGUGAGUAAUCUUCCUUCCUGGACGAACGUCUGACUGACCGACGCCGCGUGAGUGAUGACUGACUUCGUGCUGUAAAGCUCUGUUAGUCGAGACGAAUGAAUCUUGUGUGAAUAGAGCGAGGAUUUGACUGUACCGGACUAGAAUAGCCACGGCUAGCUACCUGCCAGCCAGCUAGACAUACGUGGCAGCGAUGUCUGUACUGAUUGAUCGUAA
rnacentral:rRNA from 1 species